CAGCAGCCGCGGUAAUACGUAGGGUGCGAGCGUUAAUCGGAAUUACUGGGCGUAAAGCGUGCGCAGGCGGUUUUGUAAGACAGGCGUGAAAUCCCCGGGCUCAACCUGGGAAUGGCGCUUGUGACUGCAAAGCUAGAGUGCGGCAGAGGGGGAUGGAAUUCCGCGUGUAGCAGUGAAAUGCGUAGAUAUGCGGAGGAACACCGAUGGCGAAGGCAAUCCCCUGGGCCUGCACUGACGCUCAUGCACGAGAGCGUGGGGAGCAAACAGGAUUAGAUACCCUGUAGUCCCUGUCUCUUAUACA
rnacentral:rRNA from 1 species